rnacentral:rRNA from 1 species
CAAGUCGAGCGAUUUACUUCGGUAAAGAGCGGCGGACGGGUGAGUAACGUGUGGGUAACCUGCCCUAUACACACGGAUAACGUACCGAAAGGUACGCUAAUACGAGAUAACAUAUUUUUAUCGCAUGGUAAGAAUAUCAAAGCUCCGGCGGUAUAGGAUGGACCCGCGUCUGAUUAGCUAGUUGGUAAGGUAACGGCUUACCAAGGCGACGAUCAGUAGCCGACCUGAGAGGGUGAUCGGCCACAUUGGAACUGAGACACGGUCCAAACUCCUACGGGAGGCAGCAGUGGGGAAUAUUGCACAAUGGGCGAAAGCCUGAUGCAGCAACGCCGCGUGAGCGAUGAAGGCCUUCGGGUCGUAAAGCUCUGUCCUCAAGGAAGAUAAUGACGGUACUUGAGGAGGAAGCCCCGGCUAACUACGUGCCAGCAGCCGCGGUAAUACGUAGGGGGCUAGCGUUAUCCGGAAUUACUGGGCGUAAAGGGUGCGUAGGUGGUUUCUUAAGUCAGAGGUGAAAGGCUACGGCUCAACCGUAGUAAGCCUUUGAAACUGAGAAACUUGAGUGCAGGAGAGGAGAGUAGAAUUCCUAGUGUAGCGGUGAAAUGCGUAGAUAUUAGGAGGAAUACCAGUUGCGAAGGCGGCUCUCUGGACUGUAACUGACACUGAGGCACGAAAGCGUGGGGAGCAAACAGGAUUAGAUACCCUGGUAGUCCACGCCGUAAACGAUGAGUACUAGCUGUCGGAGGUUACCCCCUUCGGUGGCGCAGCUAACGCAUUAAGUACUCCGCCUG